rnacentral:rRNA from 1 species
GAUGAACGCUGGCGGCGUGCCUAAUACAUGCAAGUCGAGCGAACAGAUGAGGAGCUUGCUCCUCUGACGUUAGCGGCGGACGGGUGAGUAACACGUGGAUAACCUACCUAUAAGACUGGGAUAACUUCGGGAAACCGGAGCUAAUACCGGAUAAUAUAUUGAACCGCAUGGUUCAAUAGUGAAAGACGGUUUUGCUGUCACUUAUAGAUGGAUCCGCGCCGCAUUAGCUAGUUGGUAAGGUAACGGCUUACCAAGGCAACGAUGCGUAGCCGACCUGAGAGGGUGAUUGGCCACACUGGAACUGAGACAGGGUCCAGACUCCUACGGGAGGCAGCAGUAGGGAAUCUUCCGCAAUGGGCGAAAGCCUGACGGAGCAACGCCGCGUGAGUGAUGAAGGUCUUCGGAUCGUAAAGCUCUGUUAUUAGGGAAGAACAAAUGUGUAAGUAACUAUGCACGUCUUGACGGUACCUAAUCAGAAAGCCACGGCUAACUACGUG